rnacentral:lncRNA from 1 species
GAUUGUGAAGGUGGGGUGAAUUACACAAGGAGGGAGAUUCGGGAUGAAUGAAGGAAAAUAAAAAGAAUGAAAGCCAGCGCCGAUAGAAGGUUGUGUCACAUAGGAGGCAGAGAAACCCAACUAAACAAAGGGUCCAGGGGCGAUUAAAGAAGCAGGUGUUUCGCCCAUAGGUUGCCUGCGAGUCACGUUGGAAAUAGUGCUCGCAUCAUGGACCACCAUGAUGCUGGAGUUGCAACGGCGAGCCAGUUGGGCCACUGCCUCCCUGACGUCGUUUUCAACACCGACCUAGAUGAUUGCAGCUCUCAUGUUGUAGUUGACAUGGGUGAUGACCAUUGCGGGCUUCGGCUUGCUCUUGGAGCCUGGUGGCCUGCCAAGGGGCCUCUUGGAGGAGGAGGAGGAGGAGGAGGACUUUGCUUGUUGGUUGGGACCAAGGACCAAGGGUGGCGGCAAGAGGUGGAAAUCGAAGGGUCCAGAACUUGGAGAGAGGUACAUUGGAAUGCCAUGGGGCCAUUGUUUGGUGAUGUUCUGAGAGCAUGAGGCAGUGAGUGUAGGAUGAAGCUUGAUGCUUUCUCAAUUGGAAUUUAUAGUAUGUUCAGGAAAUAUGAGAGUCUAUGUAUACUUAAGAUAAUUUGGGUUGUGGAACAUCCUAUGAAUAUUUUAUUAUUAUUAUUCCAAUGUUAGGGUUGGUCAAAAUUCUUUAUGAAUUUCGUGAUCAAUAUUCAAUAACCAAUAUGUCAAUCAUUUUAUUACUACUCAAAUGAUAGUUGUCAGUCAAAUUAUUUAAUUAUUAGUCAAAUUCUUUUGCGAUGCAAGUGGCGUUGAAAUUAUAAAUAAAUUGGAAUUCAAAAGGAUGUAAAAGGUAUUAAACUGAGGGCGUUACUUUUACUCCAAUUCAAUUCAUAUAUAGGUCAAUUCAAAAUUGAUUAAUUGUGCUUUAUCUAUUAUUUCACUCAUUUAUUCCUUUCUUUAUUAUUUUGGUUUUGAUUGUUUUGUUCUUUUUUUUUUUUUGAAAAGAUUGUUUUGUUCUUUUUUUAUGCAAAAAUAUCAUGCUCCUAAUUAAUCUAUUUGUCAAACUACCUUUAAGAAUUUAAUCUAUGUCACGAAGAAUAUUUCUCUACAUUUCAAAUAAACCCAUAUUUUAACUUUAUCAAAGCCCUAAUUAGUGUGGGUUAAAGCCGAAGGUAAACACGAUUUACCAUCGCCUUGGCAUCUGUAAGACUUGGAUAAUUAUUAAUAUUUUUAAAAUUAACAUUGAUUGUUUUCAUUAUCAUAAUUUUUUUUGAUGCUUAACAAGAAACAAACGAAAACAAAACAGAAAAAAACAAAGCGAAACACCCCCUACAACCUAACAAAGGUUGAGCCUAGAGAGUCAGCUAAAAGCAAAGGUUCCAAGUCAGGAGGGGGGUCCUGAACAAGGAGGAAAUCUAACCAGUCCCGUGGUUCAGAGCAGCUGAAGGAAGCAUGCCUCGGGCUAAGACCCAAGCGAAGCCAGAUGCGGCGAGCGAAAAAACAGUCCCGCAGACAAUGAAGGACAGUUUCUGGGUAUAAAUUACACCUUGGGCACAGCGGUGACGGGAACAUAUUCCGGCGAAAGCGAAGAUCAUUUACAGGAAGAGAAUUAUGGCAACAGAGCCAAAGUAAAAAGAGCACCUUGAAGGGCCCGUGCAGGCGCCAAACCCAGCUCCAAUCCUCAGCAGUAGAAGGAUUAUUCCCGCCAGGAUCCGACGCACGGCGCGCAGCCAGCAGCCAAUGAUACCCCUCCUUAGCUGAAUACAUACCAGAGAUUGAGGAAGACCAAACAAAACAAUCACGAACCUGACUACUGGUUGUACAGUCACGCUGCAUAAUCAACUGCUGGACAUCAGCUGGCAGCUGCGUAUAAAGAGAAGAGAAAUCCCAGCGGUAGUCCAUGAUUACAUCCCGCACAGUAGCUUCGAGGUCAUGAAUAUCCACAGCAGCAACCCGGUCACAAAGCUUGAAAUUGCCAAGCCAUUAUGUAAACCAGAGGGAUGAUGCUCCAUUCCCAAUCUUGAACGAGAAACCACUUUUAAUAACAUCUCUCGCUUUCUGAAUUGAUCGCCAAACCACAGACCCUCUCGUGCUUUGCAUAGACAACAAAUUCCCACGCGCACCAUACUUCCCUCUAAUCAAAAAAACCCAAGGUUUCGGCUCUUCCUGAAUUAACUGCCAAACAUUUUUCCCAAGAAGUGCAACGUUAUGUUCAUUAUCAUAAUGAUAAUGUGUGUGAAAUUCUGUGAAUUUUGAAUAUAAUAUUGAUAUGUUUAAUUUACAGUGUCUUUUUGUAGAAAAGUUUCUUAUACAAUAUCGAUCACGUAGCAAGAUUUUGGUGGACCACAUCUCGGAAGGGAUGUUAAGCGCGCGAGAUAUGCCUUGGGGGAGAAGAAAUAAUUGUUUGAAUUAUUUAGUGAUUUAUUUAAUGAUAAAUAGGAUUUUCUCUUAUUUUAAAUUAAGAGUCAAGAUGUUGAUUUAAUUUAUUUUAUUUUAUUUAACGCUAAAAAGCACUUUUGACCCCUGAUGCUUCAAGUUUGUGCAAAUUCUACCCUCAUUCUAUUUUUGUCGAAGUUUCUACCCUUCAUGUUUUCAAAAAGUGUAGCGUCUACUGUUUCAUCCAUUUCUGUUAAAAUUUGGGCGGUUUUUGCUGACAUGGCCACGUACCAUGACACGUCAGUAAAGAAAAUUGGAUCAUGGGAAAAAAUGGGGAUAAGAUUCGAACCCAUGAUCUUGGGAUGAUAAAACAAUCCUCUAACCAGUUGAGCUAUCAAUUCAAUUGUUUACAUAGUGAACAUACUAAUAUUUAGCCAAAAUCCAAAAAAUCCAAAACCCAGAAAUUUAAUAUCCAAAAUUCUUCAUCUUCUUUAAAAUCCAAAAAUCUUUGAUCUUGGUCUUCUUCUUCCUUCUGAAUUUUUGAAUUGGGGGUUAAAUUAGUGCAAAAUAAGAGCCUUAAAUGUCAUGAUGAACAAACAUAACAAUGAUACCCAGAAUUCAUCAAUUUUUGGGUUUUUCUUUGAUAUUGGAUGAUUUCAAAACAUAAUUCUGCAUUUUCUUUUCAAACGUGUCUUCUUUUCCAAAUUCUUGCUUUAAUAACUUUGAAUAUCCAGGUUUUUAAAGUAGUUUCCCUUUCAAUCUCUUUAACAGGUCUGUAAGUUCACUAGGGGGUUAAAGUUUUGGUCUUUGAUAUGCUGAACAUUUAAUGCUUAUUACUUCAUGCUUUGCAACCUAUAAUCAAGCUUUAAUACCUUUGAAUAUCCAGGUUUUUAAAGUAGUUUCCCUUUCAAUAUCUUUAACAGGUCUGUAAGUUCUCCAGGGGGUUCAAGUUUUGGUCUUUGAUAUGCUGAACAUUUAAUGCUUAUUACUGCAUGCUUUGCAACCUAUAAUCAAGCUUUUCAAUAUUACUAGAUGAUUCCAAAACAUAAUUCUGCGUCUUCUUCUCAAACAUGUCUUCUUUUCCAAAUUUUUGCUUUUAUAACUUUGAAUAUCCAGGUUUUUAAAGUAGUUUCCCUUUCAAUCUCUUUAAAAGGUAAAGAUAAAAAAUACAUUAUGUCACUUUUAUUGAUUUAUGAUAGUGCGCUUGCCCAUUAACAUAGGAAGGAAAGUCAAUUCUAUAUUUGUUGAGAGAUUAACAAUUCAGUUUUGUUAUGAAUGUGGAUAUACCAGGUCUCAUUUACCUGGAAAAUGCAAGGAAACUAUCAUUCCGGAAGCAUGAGCUGGCUGGCAGGGUUGAUGAUAAAAAUCCGUUAGAAUUAAAGAGUAGGAGGGAAAGGAGAAGGGCAAGGAAAAUUUGAGUAAGGGGAAGCUGUCCCCUCAGCUAGCUAGAUUAUGAGUUCCAUUUUUCUAUUUCCUGUAAUAUGAGCAUUGUAUGUUUGCAUAAGGUUGAAUGAGCAGAUUAUUGGCUCAUAAAUGAAAUCCUAAUAGCAGUGUCCUCUACUUCUAUAGUAUUUUUUCCAGCAUUUUAAUAUAUCUAUAAUUGAUUCAUAUUGACAUAUUCUUUACAUAUGAACCUGGGGUACAAAUGGUCUUUGAAAGAUUUGCCAAAAAAAGCUUCUCUGAUUGCUGCUAUAGAUUACAGUCUCCAAUUCCAUUUAUUUGUAGUUUUUUAAUAGUCAAUUAUGGUUUUGUUUAUAUAUGUGAAUUCUUUAGGGUACUUUGCUGAUUGCAUACAACCAGUAAUUAUAUGUUGCUAUAGUUGACAUGUUGCUCAACUCUACAAUUAUCAAAUGAAAACAUGUUAUUGCAAAUUAUUUAAGUGGAAGAGUACAAAACUUUGAGUGACAACACGACUUCGCGUUUCAAGUUGUUAUUAUUGUGAAGUGACGUGGUCUGCAACCCCUAUUUGAUGGACAAACAAUAUAAAAAUGUAUUUUAAUAAUUUGAUUGCUUUUUUAUAGGUUUUUGAAGUAUUAAGUUUCAUAUUUAACAAUAGGAAAAUAUACUUUGAUAAUUUCUUAAUUUUUUUUAAAUUUUCGAAGUAUAAAUUUAAAAGUAUGAUAAUCUAAUGGUGAUAGUAUGUAAUAUGGGGUUAAAAAUUAGUACUCUCACGGGGAGAAAUAUUUUUACAUGGAAAUACUUUCGAGUAAAAACUAAUAUAUAAUAUUUUUUCAUGUAAUUUAAGUGCAAUUUUCAUAAUUUUGAUACAUGUUUAAAAAUAUGAAGAGCAAUAUCUCGAUGCAAUGCAAAGGUAUAUGUUUGAUUAUUUAGAUUUUUUUUUUGAAAUUGAAUGUUUAGAUCACCACAACCGUAAUUGAGUAUUUAAAUAAAUGUUUUUGAAACUUCUAUCCCUCUUAAUAUGAUUGUAGUGUAAUUUUAAGUAUGCCAAUUUUUCUGUAAUCAAACUGUUGAUUGAUGUAAGGAUCAAUAACUAAUUCGCCGUGCAACGCACGGGUAAAAACGCUAGUAACAAUGAUACCCAUAAUUCAUCAAUUUUUGGGUUUUUCUUUUUCUCUUUUUUGUAUACUCUUCCUUCUCUUCACCCUCGUUCCCCAAACAACCACCAUAGCCAACACAACAGCCACCUUCAACCACCAUUCAAGCAGAGCGACCUUGUCAACACCGCCGACAACAUGCAGAGCGAUCCUCAUCAACACCGCCGACAAAGCGACCCCACGAUUGUCGGAGCACAUCCUCCUCCUCGUCAACACCACCGACAUCAAGCAGAGCGACCCUUGGCGAAUGUGUUUCCCUUUCUCCCUCUCUGAGCUUCGCGAUCCAGAUGAGGCAAAUGGGUUUUUAUAUUUUUUGGGUUUGGUUGUGUUGCAGGUGAAUGAAGAAAGAGAAUAAUAUAUCAUAUAAAUAUUAAUAUGUUCACAGCAUUGACAAUUGAAUUGGUUGCUCAACUAGUUAAAUUUAAAUGCUUGUUUUGUCACCCUAAGGUCAUGGGUUUGAAUCCUUUCCCCAUUUUUGCCAAGAUCCAAUUUUUUUUACUGACGUGGCCAUGUCAACAAAAACCGUCCAAAUUUUAACAGAAAUGGACGGAACGGUAGACGCUGCACUUUUUGAAAACAUGAGAGAUAGAAACUUCGACAAAAAUAGAGUGAGUGAGGGUAGAAUUUGCACAAACUUCAAACACCAGGGUCAAAAGUGUUUUUUAACCUUUAUUUAAUUAGAUAUUCUAGAGCGAUUUGAAUUUAAUUUAUUUUACAGAUGUCAGUCUUUUGCUUAGACUUUAGACUAGAUAAAUUAUCUUCUAAAUUAAGGAUUAUGAAAAUAACAUUUAGAGAUCAAGCAGAAGAUUUUCUACUCGAUAAUGGGCUUGGUCGAAUAGCGCUCUAGGGAUAGAAAAAUCAUUUUUUUUUCUUUUUCAACCUAUCUCUAUGCAAAACACUCGAUGUAUCACUCUCUCUUUGAGGAAGAAAAUUAUUUUUAUUUUUCUUGCUUCUAAGCACAAGGUAGGCUAGGGUUUUUCUUUUCCCUUGUUAAGUUUCUUCUAUAUCAUCCCCAUGUAUUUCUCCUUUUUUUUCUUUCUUUGUGGAAAAUUUGCUAAAAUAGGGUUGCUUCUGUUGCAAAGUUUCUUUGCACAUUUUUGGAGUUUUAUGAGUUCGUAUGUUUUCUUUGAAAAUGUUUUCAAUUAAAAAGGGGUUUGUAUCAAGUUUUGGAAAGUUAGGGGUUUAUGACGAUGUUUUGAAAAAAUAAGGAUUUAACCAUUUUUCUAUAUAGAGGCCGUAGCUUAUGCUUGUUUUUUGGGAGUGGGUUUUGUUUUGAAAACUCGUCCUAGGGUUAGAGAAUUCUAGUUUUUCAGUAGGGGUUGAAACUAGAAAAAUUUGAGAGUUUAAGGACCAUUUUUAUAAAUUAGUGAAAGUUUCGAGACUAAUUUCUAAUUCUGAAGUUCUAUAAAGGAGAUUUUUGCAAAUACUAACUAAAAUAUAAAUAAUCAAAGUUAAGAGUUUUAUAUGCAAGAUUAUUGGUUCGAGCUUAGUUACUUAUGUUGUGAAGGUUCAAUUAGCAAGGUUCGUGAGGAUCUAGGACAUGCUUUUGGGAAGGAAAACGGCCAAGGUGAGGAAACUUCGGUCUUAGAGACUGUUUUGCAUGUGACCUACCGUGCUACUUGUCUUGUUUGAGAUCAUGUUUUGCUACUUGUCCUGUCUUUUGCAUGAUGAAAACAUGAUAUGCUUAUGGUUAUGUUGAAUUGAUGAUUGUGGUCUAUGACAUGGUUACGUUGAGUUGAUUAAAUGAUGUUGUUACUUACACUAAAACAUGUGAAGUUCUGCUAUGAUACUUUAUUGGCUAUGCAAUGAUUCCUUAAUGAUGUUAUGCCUUUAUGAUGCUAUGUUGAUAUUUUUAUGUUGUGAUGCAUGCCUAACUUGAGAUGUACAUGUAAAUAUGAGAUGUGUUAUCAUUUUCGAUAAUUGUUGGUUUGCAUGGCAUUGUGCGUAAAGGAAAAUAGGGUUUGAAAUCGGGUAGGUUCAAGCCAAACUGUGUGACCACCGAUUCUUAAGAACCGGGUAGGUUCGACAAAUAUGUAGGUUCUUCACGACAAGAGAAGUUUCUAAAGAAAUGGCAUAUCAACAAUAGGUUACUAGUGAAGAGGCAAGUGACUUGGGUGUCGAUCCGAGUGAUUGUCCUACAUCCCAUGCGUGGUUGUUGGUGUAUAUCCGAAUUUUUGUAGAGAGUUUAUAUAUAGACUAACUAAUUUAGGGUCUAACAAUGACUUGACCUUUGAUGAUUGAGAACAAGCAUGAUUUGUGUGCCCUCCUCCUCCAACUUUGUCCUUGAUACUGAUAAUGAUGACAAAGUGUUGGAUAAAGCAAGUCUUUCACUUCUUCUUUGCCCACUGAAUCUUUGGGCAUUGAUGUUCUUUAAAGCUUGAAGGGACGAUAAAACUUAUGUACACCCCGGUAGAUGAUACAACUUGUGUUGAUAGUGUCUUCAGGAUUGUAAUGGUCAAUAUAUCUUCGGUUAUUAUACCCUUGUCUUUGUUAUCAUUAAAACACAAAAAAAGAGAUUGUGAGGAUUAAGGGCCUGUUUGGUUGUAGUUUUUGUUUUCAAUUUUUAAAACAAUUUUUAAAACAGUUUUCAGAAGAAGAAAACAGGUUGAAUAACUUGUUUUCCAACAUUUAGAAAACUGAUACCUGGAAACUAAAAACAGAAACUGAAAACAUCUUUUAGCUGUUUUGGUUUUUUAGUUUUAAAAACUGAAAAUGAGAACUGUUUUCAACCAAACAGAAACUGUUUUAAAAACUGAAAAUGAGAACUGUUUUCAACCAAACAGGUUUUCAGUUUUUAAAAACUGAAAACUGUUUUGAAAACAGUAAACAAACAGACUCUAAACGUUUGAACUUAACAAAUAAUUUUCAAAAAAUAAAAUAAAAUAAUCUAACAUGCCCAUUAUCACAAUUUUACGAGAGAGAUCUUAACUUUAUUCAAUGUAUCAAUAUGCUUGAUAUAAAGACAUCGUAUGGGAAACUUUAUCACCAGGAUGAGUGUUGUGAGAGAGAAGAGAAUAAGAGGAGGUGGGAGAGCACAAACCUAACAACUCAUAUUUUGAUAAACCCUAUUUUAAAAUAAUAAAUAAAUAAAGUCGGUAAUUUUUUUUUCCAAAAAUUCAAACACGUAUGUGCUUCUUGGUUCUCCUUUCCUCGAGCUAUUUUCCUUUUUCAAAAAAAAAAUUGUCAAGUAACCAAUUAUAUCAAAAGUUUAAGUUGUUGGGUAAGGAUCACCUUAAUGGUUUUAUAUUAUAUUCUAACACACCCCGUCACGCAAGAGCCAUUUGAGCUUGAAACAAGGAUAAAUGCACACAUCCACCUACCAUGUGCCUAAAUUUCACUUUUUAAUUAGAAAGUAAGGGGUGCAUGAAUCGAACUCUAGACCGCUAAAUCAUAAAAACUCUGAUACCAUGUCAAGUAAUCAAUUAUCCCAAAAGCUUAAGUUUUUCGGUUAGGGCCACUUCAAUUGUUUUAUGCUGUAUAGUAUAAGGCUGAUAGUAUUAGGCCUGAUAAAAUUUUAAUAAUAUAGAGCGUUUGGUGGCACAUUUAUAACUUAUCAUUUUGUUUAAAUUAAUAUAAACUUUUGUUUUGUGAAAUCUUGAAUAAUGAUAUAUUAUAUUAUAAAAAUGAAGAUAGUGUUAGUGGGUUGUAAAGAUAGCGGUGGUGGCUAAGGUGGUUGCGAUAAUGGCAGCGGCGGUGGUUGUGGUGGUGGCGGUAAAGGUGGCAGCGGUGAAUGGUGAUGCUGAGUGGUGGUUUGGGUGGCGACGGUAGUGUUGGAAGUGAUGGUGGUAGCAGUGGUGGAGGGAAGUGGUGGUGGCAAUGGUGGAGGGAUGUGAUAGCGGUAGUGGUUUAGGUGCUAGCAGCGGCGGUGGUGUUGUUGGAAGUGAUGGUGGUAGGGGUGGUAGUGGUGGUGGCGACAGCGGAGGGAGGUGGUUGUGGCUGUAGUGGUGUUGGGUCAUGGCGGUAUGUAGUGGUAGCAAUGAUUGCAAUGGCGGUUGAGGUGGUGGAGGCGGUGGUGGAAAGUGAUGGUUAUGAUGAUGAUAAUGGUGGUGGCAAUGGUGGGUGGUGGUGUUAGCGGUGGCAGUGGCGAUAACGAUGACGACAACGACAACGACGGUGGUGGCAGCGAAGGUGGUGGAGAGUGGUGGUAGCAAUGGUGGAGGGUGGUGUGGUGACGAUGGUGGAGGAUUGAGGUUGUGGCUUAUACAUCACACUCUUAGCAUGUCUUAUUCAUCAUCUAUAUGGUGGAUUAAAUAAUCCAUCAUUUUAAUGUAUACGAGGGGAUUGAUGUAUAAGCUUAUACAAUACAAUGUUAGCACCAAACAAUAGAUAAGUCUAUAAUGUAUUAGUAAAGCUUAUAUUAUCAUGUCUAAUACGGUGUGCCUUUCUUCCAUAUCAACAUAAAAAUAAAAAUAAAAAUAACCAUAAGGAACAUUCGCUUGGUCCAAUUGACCUUGCCUUCGAGCUGAUUUGGCGUUCCCAUGCUCCUUCUAGUGUCAAGGGUCUUGCAUGGCGAUGUUUGCUUGACCGUGUUCCUACUUGUGAAAAUCUGAUGAAGCGGGGGGUGACCUUGGACCAAGGAGCAUCGGUUUGCAAAUUAUGCGGGGUGAGCAUAGAAACAACUUUUCAUCUUUUUUUCUCCUGUUCUGUGGCAAUGGACUUGUGGCAUGCUUGUUAUAAAUGGUUUGGGGUUGAAACAGCUUUGCCAAUGAUUGCUAGAGAUCACCUGCUACAGUUCAGCUUUGGUGGUUCAGAGAAACAGCGUUGUGGUUUCUUGACAGUUUGGCUGGCAUGCGUUUGGUCUAUAUGGGUGGUCCGUAAUGGCAUUGUUUUCAGGGGUGUCGGGUUUUGCUUGCAAUCUGUGCUGGAAUUGGUGAACUUGAGAGCAUGGCAAUGGAACUCAGCGAAAAGCUUGUCAUGCGUGCAGCCAGAGGAGUGGGGCAGUUCUGUUUAAUUGUUUCUUAGCUGGCUACUGUUGUUGGUCUGUAGUUUGUAGCUUGUAAUCUUUUUGCAAUUUUUCCUUUUUUCUUGUAUUGGGUUUGGAGUAUCCCUUGUACUUCCCUUUCAAUACAAAAUUUGGCUUACCUAAAAAAAACCAAGCCCACUAUGGAAGAAUAUACUCCUCUAGUGCAUGGAAUACGAUACAGUUAUUAUUUAUAAACUAGUGUUUUUUUACCCGCGCGUUGCACGGGGAAUUUGUCUGUCGUAUUUGAUACGUAAAUCAAUACCUUGUUUUUUUAAAAUAUAAUAUACAGCAAAUGAAAUAAAAGAGACGUCGACAAAAAGUCUUAAAUUGAAACCCUUGUUGCAUAGAUUGAAAUUCGUCAAUUGCUUAACCAAAUAUCUAAUUAUGCAAAAUAUAUCAAGAGCUGGUUUACUGAUGCUAAUAAACAAUAGCUGAUUUAAUCUACCGUGAAAAAAAGAGAAAAGAUUGUUCAUGAGCGUGAUUAUGCGUGUUCAUUUUCACACAUUAAAAUAAACUAAUCUUGAUUCAAAUCAACAGGAACUCGUUUCACAUUCUUCAUGAACAUGAAGACAAUAGCACAAAUCAUGGAUAUAAGGAAUCACCAAUAAAUCAUUCAAAACACGUAUUAAUCUUUAAAAAAAUGUGAUAGUAGCACAAAUCAUGAUUGCUAAAGAUAAAUCAUAAAGUAUGACAUUAUUGUGUUUAUACCAAGUCAUCUAAUCCAAGUUUGAGCCAAUAUUGCAAGGUCCCUUCAGUUUGUACUAUUCUUUUAUGUCAUGUUUUCACAUUAAUAUUUACUCCUUAAUUAUUAUAAAACUAAGAAAAUUACUAAAAUUAAGUUCACAGUACUAUUGCAGGGUCCCUUGAGUUUGUACUAUUCUUUUACUAUUAAGAUCACACUAAAAUAUUUUUCAUUAAAAUUUUCAUCCCGCGCGGAGAGUUUUCUUACCUAUAAUUUUAUCAUAAGUAAAUAUAAACUAUAUAUUAUAAUCCUUGUACAAAAUAUUCCCAUAAUCAAAUUCUAAUCCUUUCAAUAAUAUAUUUGUUGUCGAAAAAGUAAAUGAUCCUGAAAUGUUUACAAAAGAAAAAUGAUAUUUAAUUGUACGCAUUAGUUAAAUAUUUUUUGCAUUUCCUUUAAGUGCGUAGACAACAAUAUAAAAGUAAAUAUAUUAAUAAAUUCCACUAAAAUUAAUUUAAGAACACCAAUAAAAAACACUUCAAUAUUCAAAAUCAUUAAAAUAGAAACAGAAAUACAGUUUGAUAUCAGAGCCUAAAAAAGCUUGAAAUCUUAUACGACCAAUCCUAAAACCACUUGAAACACAUUAAAUAUUCUCCUUGUUAUACAUUAUACUACCAAUCAUGUAAGUACCUAUAACUUGAAACGCAUCAAAUAUUCUCCUUGUUAUACAUGCCUCAUUUUCUUUCCCAUAUUUGUCAUAUAGCUUACUGUACCUGGCAAAAGAGAGAGCAUGAUAGCUUUAACAAAUCCCAGACAUGAAACAGAUCUGGUUCAACAGAUCUGGUGACAACCCAAUCAACAUCAUGUUUUCACACUUGAGUAAUAUAUUGCCGAUGUAAGCUCACAGCUCCAAUUACAAUCUACAAUAAAAGUCAUAUGGGUCACAGUUCAAUGUAAAGCAACUUAAAACUAAAACCUAGCAAAAAGAUCAAUUGCUUUAUAGUUGACAGUAUGGUGUGGGGGAAUUGCCGACUAUACUUGGAUUGAGUUUUUUGGUGUUGAUGGGAAAGGAAGGCGUGGGAAUCCCAUGCGAGAUUAGCUUCAAGGUUAUCCCUAAGGAGGAUAUGUGCAUUAAAAUCAUAGAGCAGAGCAGUAUAUAAUGUCAGUUCGACAACAUGAGAGAACUACUUCUUGAAUGUAUGAUUAACUUCUCAGUUCCCUCUGGUAUCCAUGACAAAAUCCAGAUUUCAAGAUGCAAUGUAGAGGUGCGUGGAGAAUGAAAAGAGAGAAACAUUAGAAUGUGUAAUUGUAGCAAGUGCAUUUGAUGCAUUAGGAUGAUCUCAUCCAACCAAACCAAAAACAUUUCUUCUAGUAUGCAAAGCAAAGGUAGUUGGCCUAAAAAUAAAUCAAAAUCAAUAGAGGUGAUUAUUUCUUCUAAUAUUUCUUCAGAUUUCAAUAUGCUUUCCUCAAACUUAAUGUGAAUAAAUAAAUCGAUAAGGCUCCCUCUCCUUCCUCCUAUCUUUUCUUUGGUUUUUAUUGUAGAACAAAACUCAACCAAGCCACUCAAGAAAAACAAAAAAAAUUAGGUGCAAAAUAUAUCAUAAAGUAUGAAAAGGGCAGAAAACCUUACAUGCUAUUUUCACACUUGAAAAAUGACCCUCUCCAAUCUGUUUACCAACAAAAAAGUGGAAAGAAUGUCUCACCAUCUCAAACAGUUUGCCACCUCUCCUCUGAAUCCAGUUAUCCUAUCCUCAACAUCUGUAGUGUAUUUACAUAAUGACGCUAAAAGCAACUUCCAUCAACUCCAAAAUAUUGAUGGAGAAGGUUUGACCAAACAUUGUCUAAUGUAAUUCUUUGCUCUAUUAUUUACAGAUAUGCAUCAAAUGCAGAAAAGGAUUUACAUGUUAUGCAAUAUUCUAAUUUAUCUAGCAAACACUACCUCAAUUAUAGAUCAGUUAUGUGCAUGCUUAAACAGGUAGCAAGCAUCAUGAAUCAAAAGUUAUCAUCUCACAAUAAACCCAAAAAACAUGAACAAUCUAACUACAAAGUUUGAUGAAGGCUUAUCUCUCUGAGCAGACAAUGUCAGGCUUUGUUAACAAUGUCAAAGCAGAGGUAGAUAUGUUGCUCUACUACUCAAAAAAAUUUAGAGAAGAGCCAGUGCUAUCAUGUCCUUACCUGAUCCAUAAUAACAAAGAGCUAGAGCAUGCUACCUUUCUCUUUUACUGAUACUCCCAGGGAGCAACGAUCCAUUGAAGAAGGAGCACUCACCAUUGAGAUAAAGUAGCUUCACGUGGAGCAGUAUUUUACUUUUUGUAUCUAAUCUAAAAUCUAAAGCAAACAGAUUACUAUAGAUUUGCUGGAAACUAAAUAAAAAGUAGAUUACUAAUUGAUAAAAUCUAAUAUAUUACAACAACAACAACAACAACAACUUAUAGAUUUUAGAUUAGAUUUGCUUAAGAUGUUAGAUAUUAGAAUAGAUUUAAUAUUCUAAACUUUUAAAUAUGAAUAUAUUAAACCAACAUAAAAGACCAAAACCAGUUACAAUGUUUGAGAAGAGAAAAAGAAACCUCUUCUAUUGCAGCUCGUGCAGCUUCUCCUUCCUUUUCUCUUCGUUGCCUCAAUUCUUCCUCAGCCCUCAUUUUUAAAUUAAUAACAAAUUAACUCACUAAUUAAAAACACUUAACUCACUAAUUAAAAACCUCAAAGAAACUAAACACACUUUCUUCAUUAGAUCUGGAAAAAUCUCUUCAUCUUCAUAUGCCCAUUCAUCCUUAAUCCUCCCCCUUCAUCCCUUUUCUCUGAUAACUCUAAAUUAAAUAAUAAAACCCCACCUUCAAACCCCAAUUUCAAUCUGUUCAUCUUCAAACCCCAUUUCAUCACAUGUUUUGGGUCAAUUUUUUCAACCAAAGGGAAAAGCUUCAAGUAUCCACCGUCUUCACCAUCAACACAGUCCUCCUCCAUCUUUUUCAUUCUGAUCCCAAAUGCUUUGAAGGUCACACCUUUCCUCUUCAACCCUUCAAAUCCCAACUCAAAUGCAUCAAAACCCAUCAAACCCUUCUAAGCCAUCGUUUCCCCGGAGCUCGCCUCACCAAAUCCAUAAACAACCAAAGGCCAGAUCGUCCCCACCGUGACUCUAACAGAUCAAGAACCAGGACGAAGAAAUCGAGCAGAUCGAGAGCCUGGUUCUCUAUUUUCUCUUCUCUGUUCGAUUUUCUGGGUUUUUGGUGAAGCUCGAUGGUCAUGGUUGUGGAACAAGGUGGCUUUAGUGAGAAAAGGGUGACUUUCUGACGGAGGAGGCGUUAUGUUGGUGAAGUCGCGUACUGGAGGGCUGGUGGUUUUGAUGUGCGUUUGUAAAAACGCAUAAACACAGAUCUGUAGCAAAACUUGCGUUCCAGCGAAAGCGAUAAAUUUGAGCGGUGGGUGUUGGGCGUUGGCGUUUGCACACAUCUGUUCGCAUACCUCUGUGUAGCUUUUCGUAUGAUUUGGGGUGACAAAUUCAUUAUUGUUCUGUUGAGAAUUGUAGGAGAGGGGCCUCUCUUCACGUGGGUUUAUUUUUCAUCUUGAUUCAGUCUGUUUCAAUUCAGUUCGCUUGAUUCAAUUCAGUUCUAGCACAUUUUCCAUGUAUCAUGCUUGAUUCAAUUAUGUUUCAAUUGGAUUUGGUUGAAGAAAAGGGAAAAAUUGGUUUUUGUUUCUUUUUGUUUUUGGAUUUCUUGAUGCUUCUUUAUUUGUUUCCAGAUUUUGUGUUGUUGAUUAAUUGGAGAUUAAUAUGAAGGAGGAUUAGAUAUUAAUGAUUUAAUAAAAUUAAGAUAAAUAAGUUAAUAUUUUUUUAUUUUUAGACUUUAAACAAUUUUUUUUUAAAAAAAUUAAUUAGUUUUUUUUAAUUUAAAUGAAAAAACAAAUUACACAUCAGCUUAUUAAUCCCAUGUGGCAAUCCACCGGAGCUCCGGCGUUGACCCUGAGCUCCGGAGGGAUGAAAACCAAACGUUUUGGCAAAGGUUAGGGACUAAAGCCCACCUUUGCUCCGGCGAGGGACAAAAACCAGAUAUUAUGUAAAGGUUAGGGACGAAAAACUUAUUUAAGCCUUCAUUUUAUAGCUAACCGUUUGAAAAAGCUCAUGGUUGGAGUUCUAUCUCAGGUGAGAGCCAACUCUUUUUUAAUAAGGUUAACAGCUAGGAUCUUAGAUAGAGAAAUGGAAUCUUAUGGAAUCACGCACAAGAAGAUAAUCCAUUUAGAAAGUAGGAAAACAUAGAAUUAGUUCAACAUACGUAAUCAAAAUGACAAUCAAUAAAAAAUCCAUAUUUGUAAUGAAGUUCUGAAAAGUAAAUCUUAAACAUGGAUACAGUUAAGAGAAAAAAAAAAUCUUGUAUUCUCCAAGCUGGAGAACACUAAUCAUCCUAUUUCUUAACUAUAAUUACCAUAAAAAUAUUUGUGAAUACAAAUUGUUAGUAGCUUGCAGUGAACAACCAGUUAAAGAUGAAACAAUGAAAAUUCACAUUGGUAUUGAGAGCCUAUUCUUUUACAGAAUUGGAAAGUAGAAACCUGUGUGUAGGUAAUCACAAGUUCACACUCACAUAGACGGACUCAAGGUUCGAAGUAGAGUAAUGGAUUGGUGAUGAUCUUGGUGAAGAUAAGAAAGGUUUGGGUGGUAUUUGCAAUGAUUCAAUGCUCCCUUCCAACAUAUCCACCACUUGGCUCAUUGCUGGAUGAGCAGAAGGGUCUGUUUGUAUGCACCACAAGCUUUACUAAAAUCAUCUUCCUUACCAUCUCAUUAUCAUUUUCAUUUUUAAUAAACCUCAAUGCAAGUUCUUGAUUUGUUUCUAGAGACUUGUAAAUCCAAUGUGGAAAAUAUAUUUCACUGGAACACUCAGCUUCCACAUUAAUGUUCUGUCUUCCUCCAACCAUAUCCAAAACCAUCAUUCCAAAACUAUAAACAUCUGAUUUAUGAGAUACACUGCCAAAACUUCUAGAAAUUACCUCAGGAGCAAUAUACCAUGCAGUUCCUCUUGCACCUAACAUGGAAACAAUACUCUCCUUUCUUGGGCAUAUUUUUGCAAGUCCAAAAUCUGAAAUCUUCGGACAGAAGUCUACAUCAAGCAAUAUAUUGUGAGGUUUGAUGUCAAAAUGUAAGAUUUGAGUGUUGCAACCUCUAUGCAAGUACUCUAAACCUCAAGCAGUACCAAUGGAAAUUUGAUGCAAAGUUUUGCAAUCCAAUUGACGAUCAACAAUUGCAGCAUUAUCUUCAUAUGUAAACUUCUCAAGAGAUCCAUUAGGCAUAAAUUCAUAAACUAGAGCUCUUUUUGAACCUUGAAAACAAAAUUCAAAGAGACCAACCACAUUAACAUGCGAAGUUUGGCUGAUACUGGCAACUUCAUUGAUGAAUUCUUCACCAUUUCUUUUCAACUUGUUUAAAAUCUUCACUGCAACAAGUCGUCCAUCAGGCAAUUUUCCUUUGUAUACACUUCCAUAACCUCCUUGGCCUAGUUUGCUUUUGAAGGAGCUGGUCAUUUCUCUUAUCUCAGAACAAGUGUACCUUUUGGUUAGAUGGAGUUCAUGCCUCUUCAAAAAUAUUUUAAUUUUCUUUUCUGUAAGAUUUUCAGCUUUCCAAAAGAAAAUGGAUGCAGGGGGUCUUGUAAAACAGCAUCUCAAUAUCAUAAGCAUCGCAAUCAUAGCAGCUGAAGAAGCUGGAUUAAAAUGAAUUAAAUUAAACAUGGUAACAAAUUACGUAUGAUAACUAAUCAAUACAGACAUGCACGCACCUUGAAAGAUACAACGAAACUUUCCUCUGUGAUCAAGUCUGCACCGUCCUCCACUUUCAUACAUGCACUUUCGACAAUCCUCAGACAAUGUUACUUCAAUGGUAACUUGAGAUUGUCUGAGUUUACCAAGAUUUGAUAACUUAGCUGGAAUCUGGUUAACAGUACAAGCAUUGGAAGGUGUGGUGAGGGAAUCACCAUAGAGUAGAUAAAAAUCUUCACACUUCGUGUAGUUAAGAAUUAAGAUGAUGUUCAUCAUCAACGAUAUCACUGCACACAUAAAGAUUCAUUGUUCCAUCAAUUUCCUUGUUUAAAGACAUGAUAGGAGAUGUCGGGGGAAGGGUAAUGGGGUACCAGCAUUCUGUGGGGCAAUCUCCAUGGCGUUCGUCGAGGUAAGAGAUGAGCUUUAGAAGUGCAGUGUGCUGGACAACAAUUGUUGAAGAUAGAAUGGAGGUCCCUAAGCUUAUACUUUCAAUUUGAAGCCAAGUUGCCUUCUUGUUUUCAUCAUAUCCCAAACGAACUUCAACUGUUGAACCUGGAUCAUCACAUCCGCUUAAGUACAAACCACAUUCUGUGUUCGUGUUGUUGGUGAAUGGGAAGGACAUCAACCCGAAGCGUUCACAGUCAAAGGAACUUGGGCACUCUUGUUUUGCAAACAUAAAAGGCAGACAGUAACAGAGAAUAACCAAACCAAGUACAAAUCCUGGAGCCAUUAUCUGAGUAAAAUAGUUGACAAUCAUGUUGGGUUGUUAGAUAUAUAAUGAGGAGGGGAGAAAAGAAGAAAAAGACUCAAAGGUGUGAAAUAAUAAAAUAUAAAAAAAUAGCAUGGGAAAAACAUUAACAUUCUUUAGCUAUUGCCAUCUCUGUUCUUUUCAACUUAUGCCUACUAAAGCAGAAAAGGAAAGGAUUGGUGACAUAACUUUUAGUUCACAUUUUGCAGUCACCCGACAGACACACUGAGUAAGUAAGAAAGAGAAGUAAAAUGUUAAUGUAUGAUAUAUGAUGGAUGUGAUAAAAAGAGAGUGAUAGAGAUUAAGGUUGGGUGUUUGGGAGGUGUUUGAUGUUUGAGUGUGCAAGUAUCAUUCUUCUUUUCAUUCCUAACUUCUUCUUUAUGAUAUAUUUAAAGCAUACUUUUUAGUCCUAUAAAACUAAAACCACAUGGUUUAGGAUAAGAAUCUGAUUAAACAUUUCUUGUAGGGACUAAAACAAAAAAUUAGAAAGAAAAAAGAGAGAACCUGAUGGUAUAUUUAGAAUUCCCUUUGGUGGGUCCCCAAUUGGCACAUUAGACCAAAAGUUCAAAUCCACACACAGGCAUGUUCCCACUCAGCCUCAGCGUCCUUGAAAGAAUAACAGGAUGAAAAGACCAAUAUGAGAAUAAAUUAUCUUGGAGGGAAUACUUUUUUCUCAUUCUAACCUCCUUUCAAUGAAUAAAUCCUACAGCUGUUUCAGUUGCUGGAGCACUAGGAGUUUUGAUAGUCUUGGCUUGCAUCAAACUAAGUUAUUUUUUUAGCCUGAUUGAGACUUUUCUGAAGUAAAUGGUCACCUUAAAGCCAACAUGAACAGCUAUUUAGAGGUUAAAAAAAAUGACCAGCUCCUUCAAAAACAAAUUACACCAAGGAAGAUAUGGUAUUGUACACAAAGGGAGGUAUAUAAUUACUCAUAAUUGAAGUCUGGAAGGCUUUACAAGAAUUCUCAUAUAUGAGUACCAGCCUAAUCCUUCAAGGCUUAAUCUAACAUUGAAUUGCACAACUAUAUAUGUACAAUAUUGCUAUUGGUGUUGCUGGAGGAUUAGAGUAUUUGCACAAGGGUUGCAGCACGAUAAUCGUGCAUUUUCACAUAAAACCUCACUAUAUAUGUACAAGAUCAUAUUUUGUGCUUUGCUGAAAUAUGUCCAUGAGAAAAAAAGUAGUCUAUCAAUGAUGGGUUCAAGGGGAACUGUAGUGUAUAUUACACGGUUGCACCUAAGGCGUUUUGCGAAAAAAUUGGUGGAGUGUCUCAUAAAUCAGUUUGUAUGCACCACAAACUCACAUUAGUGAAUUUUAUCAGCUGUCACCUCACAUGAUAAAGAUAAGUUGGAAAUCUUAACUAUCAGUGAACAAAGGAGAUGGCGGUGUCAAUUUUGCAGGUUAACAAUUGCAAAAUCUUGAAAAUAUUUGUUUCAUUUAGUACAAAAACUACAUAUCAUGAGAAAAAAAAAAUAUCCAAUUGGUAAUGAAGUUCUGUGUUCUGAUGUUAAUCUCAAACAAGUAUACAAUUAAGAGAAAAGAAAAAUCUUCCAUUCUCCAAGGCCUCCAGCACUGAUUUCCCUAAUUCUAAACUAUAAUGACCACAAAGCUUCGUGAAUAUAGCUUACACUGGAAUAUAAAAUAAGACAUUACCCCGCUAAAGUUGGAACAGUGAAAAUUCAAAUUGAGAUUCUGACAGAACCAGAAAAAUGUUAGAAAAUAACACAGCUGAAGAAGUAAAAUAAACCAGGAACGCAAUCAACAACACAAGAAUAUAACGUGGAAACUCCAAAACCGGAGAAAAAACCACAGCAGUUGUCAAAACCGACAACCAGAGAAUAAACACUAUGUGAAAAUUGUUACAACACAUAGACUUCACUCUCAACCACCCCAUGACCCCAGUACACCCACACUCUCCAAAGUAAAUAUUUGAACUACAUCUCACAAUGCUCUAAAACAAGAGCAUAAGAAAAAAAAGAAAACACAAAUAUAAACUUAAAGUGUUUUCAGGUGCUACAUCUUUGGUGUUUUGGUGUGUUGAAACAAGGAGCUUGAGAUCCCUAUAUAUAGUCUUGGACUCUCCCACCCCUCACUAAUCUAAGCGAUGUGGGACUUCUCCAAGAUGCAUAACUUGAUCUUUUUUCUCCUUCAUUAGCAAUGUGAGACUUACAUUGCAAUCAACCCCAACAAUCUCCACCUUGAUUGUAAUGACCUUCAGUCUUCAUUGUCUUCACCGACAAUCGUUGUCUUCACCGACAAACAUAAUUCUCAUUGUCUAUAUACCGACAAAUUGAAUUAUCAUACUCCACCAUAAAAGAGUAAACUACACUUGGAACUAAACCAUCCCAAGAAUUUUCUUCACUUGGAACUAAACCAUUCCAAGAAUUCCACAUGCCGAAACCUUGCUGAAAAUUUAUGGUGCAACUUCCAUGUUGGCUUACUCUGAAAGUUCAUCAGCCAUCGACAUAACCACGUACCUUGCAUCAACACCAACCAAUGCCCGCACGGUAUCACCACACACCUUGCAUCUAUAUCAACCAAUGCCCGUGUACCACCUGGACAAUUUCAUGCCCAAAACACCUUGUGCAACCAUGAUUGCAUAACUCCUCCAUCACAGCAUCAUCGCAGCUGCAGACCGACUGUAAACCGUGCACCAGGUUGGUUCCUAGCCAGAACCUUCCAAAACAGCACUUCACAAUGUCACACUUCUUCAGCACCUUCGCAAUACCAGACAAAGUGAUAUCCAUCGAACCGGAAGCUCUGAUACCACUGUUAGAAAAUAACACAGCUGAACAAGUAAAAUAAACCAGGAGCGCAAUCAACAACACAAGAAUAUAACGUGGAAACUCCAAAACCGGAGAAAAAACCACGGCAGUUGUCAAAACCGACAACCAGAGAAUAAACACUAUGUGAAAAUUGUUACAACACAUAGACUUCACUCUCAACCACCCCAUGACCCCAGUACACCCACACUCUCCAAAGUAAAUAUUUGAACUACAUCUCACAAUGCUCUAAAACAAGAGCAUAAGAGAAAAAAGAAAACACAAAUAUACUUAAAGUGUUUUCAGGUGCUACAUCUUUAGUGUUUUGGUGUGUUGAAACAAGGAGCUUGAGAUCCCUAUAUAUAGUCUUGGACUCUCCCACCCCUCACUAAUCUAAGCGAUGUGGGACUUCUCCAAGAUGCAUAACUUGAUCUUUUUUCUCCUUCAUUAGCAAUGUGGGACUUACAUUGCAAUCAACCCCAACAAAAAAUUACCCUAGAUUACAGAACACAAUAGCAGAACUUUGAGGACCUGUCAAGCCUCCCAAUGCCGAAAGGCAGUAAACUACUGGACACCCAUCCCUUUCGAUCUUUCUUACUAUUUAUAGGCAACAUGCCUCACACACUAAAUCACUAACUAAAUACUUCACAAACACUACAUCUAAAAACAGUCAAGUCAGGAACUAUGCGGGAAAAUAUGAGAAAUUAAAGUGAGGUUAUUCUAAGGUUAUAGUAUAGCAAAAAUUGUAGUAUCUUGAUAGGAUCCUUUCACUUUGUAUUCGUAAUGGACUUGUGAAAAAUAUAUAUAUCUCUAACCUGGACACGCUUAGUUCAAAAAGAAAAAUGCUAUGUUCUCUAAGAUGGAGAUCACUGACAGUCUUAACUACAAUGACCAUAAAUAUUUGUGAAUAUAUAAAAAUACAAACUGUUAAUAGUUGACAGGAACAUGCACAUGAUCAGCUAAAGUUGAAACAAUGAAAACUCAGAUUAAUAUUGCGAAUAUUUUAUUACAGAAUUGGAAAAUAGAAACAUGUGCUUUGGUCUAGGUAAUCAUAGGUUUACAGUGAUACUGGCUGACUCAAGGUUUGAAGUUGAGUAAUGAGAUGGUGAUGUUCUUGGUGAGGAUGAGAAAGGUUUCGUUGGUAUUUGCAACGAUUCGAGACUUCCUUCUAACAUAUCCACCACUUGACUCAUUGCUGAACGAUCAGAAGGAUCUGUUUGUAUGCACCACAAGCUUACCAAAAUCAUCUUCCUUGCCAUCUCACUAUCAUUUGCAUUUUUAAUACACUGCAGAACAAGCUCUUGAUCUUUUUCCAGACGCUUGUAAAUCCAAUAUGGAAAAUAUAUUUCACUGUAACACUCAACUUCCACAUUGAUAUUCUUUCUUCCUCCAACCAUUUCUAAAAUCAUCAUCCCAAAACUAUAAACAUCUGACUUGUGAGACACCACUCCAAAAUUUCUUGAAAACACCUCUGGAGCAAUAAACCAUGGAUUGGUGAUGCUCUUAGCGAAGAAAAGAAAGGUUUUGGUGGCAUUUGCAACGAUUCAAUGCUCCCUUCCAACAUAUCCACCACUUAGCUCAUUGCUGGACGAGCAGAAGGGUCUGCUUGUAUGCACCACAAGCUUACCAAGAUCAUCUUCCUUACGGUCUCAUUAUCAUUAUCAUUUUUUAUACACCUCAAUGCAAGUUCUUGAUUUUUUUCUAGAGACUUGUAAAUCCAAUGUGGAAAAUAUAUUUCACUAGAACAUUCAACUUCCACAUUAAUAUUUUGUCUUCCUCCAACCAUAUCCAAAACCAUCAUUCCAAAACUGUAAACAUCUGACUUAUGAGAUACACUGCCAAAACUUCUAGAAAUUACCUCAGGAGCAAUAUACCCUGCAGUUCCUCUUGCACCUAACAUGGAAACAAUACUCUCCUUUCUUGGGCAUAUUUUUGCAAGUCCAAAAUCUGAAAUCUUUGGACAGAAGUCUACAUCAAGCAAUAUAUUGUGAGGUUUGAUGUCAAAAUGUAAGAUUUGAGUGUUGCAACCUCUAUGCAAGUACUUUAAACCUCGAGCAGUACCAAUGGAAAUUUGAUGCAAAGUUUUGCAAUCCAAUUGACGAUCAACAAUUGCAGCAUUAUCUUCAUAUGUAAACUUCUCAAGAGAUCCAUUAGGCAUAAAUUCAUAAACUAGAGCUCUUUUUGAACCUUGAAAACAAAAUUCAAAGAGACCAACCACAUUAACAUGCGAAGUUUGGCUGAUACUGGCAACUUCAUUGAUGAAUUCUUCACCAUUUCUUUUCAACUUGUUUAAAAUCUUCACUGCAACAAGUCGUCCAUCAGGCAAUUUUCCUUUGUAUACACUUCCAUAACCUCCUUGGCCUAGUUUGCUUUUGAAGGAGCUGGUCAUUUCUCUUAUCUCAGAACAAGUGUCUUAAGCAUGAGUUCUUAGUUCUUACUACUAUUCAUUUGGUCCCACCAACCACAUUAUUUAUACUUUUUAUUUUCAUAAAGUAAUAAAACAAAACUCAUAAAGUAAUAAAGUAAUUUGGAUGAGAGAGAAAUAAUUAAUGUUUUAAGCUAAAAACUCAAAAAGCAAAACUCCUUCUAUAAGAACUGAGUUCUUAUUUUUAAGAACUAAGAAGUCCAUGUCAGCACCUCCAAUGGUAAAGUUCUUAGUUCUUAGUUCUUAACUCCAAAGUAAGAAUUAAGAACUUUGUAUUGGAGAUGCUCUUCUAGAUCAUGGGUUAUGGAGUCAGCAGCUAGAAACUCUCAGCUUCUGAUUUUUAUUUUUUGUUCCGGAUGAGGUUCUGCUUUUGGUUUCAUUUUCUUCUAAUUAAGGAAAGCAAGGAACUCUCAUUCAUUUAUGUGACACCAUAUAACUAUAUAUAGGUGUGGAGGUUAUUAUGAUUCUGGUGCACUCAAAAUUUUCCAAUAGUUCUGCAGAAGCUGACAUAUCUCGUUAUAAGGCACCCUCAAAUUAGACGUGUAGACACUGCCUGCGCAUACACGUUUGACGUUCUAUAUUUUGUGGUGGUAUGUUAUAUUAUACUAGAUCAAUUUAUAAAAGAACUUGGCACAAGUAAAUCAGUUAGAUAAAUCCAUUUGGGAAUUUUUCAUGCAUUUUGUUUUGAGAUAAUUUCAAAUUCAUUCUCUUUUGCAUGUAAUUUUGUUUACUGGGGUGCUUUUUUUAAUUUCCCUACACUGCUGAACUUUGGCCUGAAAAAAACUCCAGUCCAUAUCUUAGUUCAUAAAUGGCGCUGACUGACAGAUCUCUUAGUUCAUAUCUUUGUUCAUAUAUGUCAACGGUCAACCCCAUUGUUCCUCGGUUCCUUCUCUCCAAUCUCUGAAUCCCUUAUUCUCAUAGGCGGAUGUACCGCCUGGCCAUCCUGGGCCUGUGCCCAGGCUCUGGCCAAAAAAAAAAAUUUUUCUUUGGUCCAGAUCAUAAUUUAGGUCCAAAAAAAAAAUAAAAAAGGGAAAAUGUAAAGGUAAGGGAAAAAUUCAGGGACUACUUCAUAAAUGUGCCCAGGCUUCCCAAAAUUUCUGGUUCCGCCACUGCUUAUUCUAGUAAAUGGAUACAGUCAUAUCUAGAAUACAAUCAUGCAAUUAGUUUCUGCUUGACUGCAGAGUCCUCAUGUUGAGUAUAUAAUAAUAAUUCCAAGGCUUCUACAGGUAGUAACACUACAACAUUUUGGUCCUACGGCAACGCCUUGCCUUGCUACGGACGGAAAAGCGUUGCCGUAGAUGACAUUUGUACACGGUUUUCAUAUCUGUUCUGUUUGUGCCUAAAAAAUUUUCCAGUUCACAUCGAGAACGCUUUUUUCACAUUUGUUUUAUGAAAACACUUCAAAUGUUGUUGCUAAAGAUCAUUACUAAAUAAAAAUGAAAAACUUCGAUCAUCUGAAAAAUAAAAACCAAAAGAAAUGGGUAGGUUCAACAAAAAGCGAAAAUAUUCUCAAUUUCUCAUCUCGUGUUCAUGGCUGCGUCGUUCCCAUCGCCGAAGCCCAUCCCCGCCGCUCAUCGGUCAUCGAUCUUCACCGCCGUUUCUGAGCCACCGCGACACCACCAACCCUCGCCGGUGUUGAAGGCGAACCCAAACUCCGACUGGCAACGGUGAGAGCGACUGGAGACGGUGGCCACAAAAUCGACGCUGGUCAUGACCUAAUCGAUGCACUCACGCAUCAAAUCGAGAAGCUCCAUUCUUCUUCUCAAAGCUCCAUAAUCGCUGCCUCUGCGAUGAUGAAAUCGGAAGGAUUCGGUUUCAAAGAACUUUGGUUUCCGGAAGAAGAGUGAUUGAUUCGUUUUGUGUCGACUUAAUUUUGAUUUUGUUCAUUUUCAGGUUGUUUUGUAUGGAGAUCUCUCUCGUGCCCUUGUGAUCCUCCUUCCUCUACUCUUCAUCUAUGGUGGUGUCUGCUUCUACCUCCCUGGCUUAGUGCCGCAAGAUUUCCAGAAGGUACACCUUCAUUUCCAUUUCGAUUUUCUAGGUUUUCUAUUCUUUGAAGUUGAUUCUACCAACUGUUUGAUGAAAUGCCAAGCAUUUAUGCAGCAUUUAGUUGGUUGUUCUUUCCUUCACAUUUAUCUUAGUUGAAAAACUACCAUAAAACUACAUGCUAACCAAAACUGGACUUGGAUUAGAUUAGAUUAGACUGGAAUUCAUUUUCAGGUGUCAAUGAAUCCACCUAUUGUAUGAUAAUCUUUUGAUCUAUGUAGUCAUUACUGUUACCCCAAUGCCGAAGUGAAUAGAGCAACUCAACACAGUGAAGCCUUAUAUUACAUUGAUGUAUUACAAUAUAUUAUAGCUCCAUAUAAUUCACAUUUAGAGAAAAUAUGCUAGAUAGUUAGGAAUGUAAAAACAUGUGAGCUGUAAGAAGAUGAUGCUUUAGGGGUUGGUUCUGUUAUUGGUGUUGUAGACUUGGUUGUUGGUACAAUCAGAUAAGAUAUAUAUGUAACUGAUGCUCAUUCUCUUAUUAGAUGCUAAAUAUGCUAGGACUCUUAUAAGUGAAAUUCCAAAUAAAAGUUCGUAUAAGAAAGAGAUAGAUUUUAGGUUUGAAUUUAUCAUUGCUUGAACAUAGAUUAUAGAAGAAAUGAACAUAGUCUUUAUGUUAUUCGAAGUUUUGAACUAGCAUAUUUGUGUUAGUUUAUAUGCUCGUGUUUACCUUCUUAGGUUAUGUGAGGGUGGAGAAAUGCUGGAUCAGAUAUUGGCCUAGUAAGUAUUGGUUGAUUUUGGAUGUGAUUGUUAUUUUCCUUGGUCUAAAUCUGGUCUCCUUGGUACCCUUGAUUCAUGUCAUUACAAAAAAAAUGAAAAAAAUUCGAUUUCUCAGUCGCAUGCUUUGCUUCAAUUUCAAUUUCAGAUUUAAGUUUGUCCAAAUUUUAUUCAUGAGCAAAAUGACUUUCUGUUUUUUCAUGAUUUUAAUUUCAGCUUGGUUCAAGAAUUAUUCGACUGCGGUCAAUAUACCACCAGUUCUCAUCUCAAUUCCUACCAAUCCACAAUCAUAUAAUACUUCAAAUAUUCCAAAUAAAUAGUAUGAGUUUAAUCAGGUGCUCCAAGAGAGUCUUUGGUACACAGUGCAUGGCAUAUUUUAACAAAGAUUAAACAAAAAAAUUACAUAGAUGAUUGAGUAUUGCAUAUAGAUGGUAUGUGCAGUUAAUGUGAUGUUCAUCACUACAAAACUAAUCUUUUGAGUUUCAAGUAGUAGUAGCAAAGUGCAGUGCUAAGUGCUAACCCUAAAAACCUAUAUAUAAAAAAUGGGGUGAAAAGAUUUACAUUUUUGGCUGCAGCACUGAAAGCUUCUCGAUGUGGGAUCUGAGGAUUUGCUGCUUUGAUCCGCUGUAUCUCCCCUCUGACAAUCACAUCAAAUCAACCAUAUAUGUUAUACGUGUCAUAGUACUAAGAAAGUAAAUAGAGUAAGAGAAAUAGAGAAUGUAAUAGUGCAAUCUGUGUUGUUGUAGUGAAAAAAAAACAAAGACAAAAAAUCCACAUCUCUCCAGAAAUCUGAACUCACUUCAUGAAACGAUUGUAAGCAGAUGGGAGACGGUGCUUUUUCUUAGGUGUUGCAAAAAGAAUAAUCAAUUUACAAAUAAGGACACACAUGAAUAAUGUUGGGAACUGAGAAAGAAAAUCAUUUGUAGAGGGAGUUCUGAGUAAUCAAUAAUACAAAGUUUUAAGGUAAAAAACUCCUCUCAGUGCAUUUGGUGAACUCACCACAUCUCUUGCAAUGGAAGAAGUUAUCCUUGCCUCCAAUUCUGAAAAAGCAAUUAUAUAGAGAAGAUGAUGAUCAAAUUCUGUUAAAGCAAUGUGGAGUAGGAAAUAUAACAAUUAGAAAACUGAUUGAAGAUCUUUACCUGCAGAUGCCAUAUUCAUCACAGUGGUAUUGGUUUUUUGAAAUCUGAAAGAUUGAACAACUUCUUAAUAGAAUAUUCCAAAAUAUGCCACUCUCAUAAAUCAUAAUUGAUUUUGACUUCGAAAUCAAUUGUAAGAGAAUUUACAAACAUCCACGAAGAAGGAAACAUAACUCAAUUUCUAUCUCGCGAGAGAACUUACAUCAUCAUCAUCAAAUAAUUUGCAUGUAGCACAAAAGUACUUGCCCAUGCAUACUCCACAGUUUAUGCAGUACUGCUGAACCUGCAGGUAGCAUGAGAAACAAUCAACACAUCAGAAAAUGCAAGUAAUAUAUUACCAUUUUUAUUAAUCAGCAAUAAAAUGUCACAUAAUGAUUAUAUGGUUAAGUCUUAAGAAAGCAGAAACACAUGACAUAAUCGUUGUCUCUGCUGCUGCUACUGUCAUGGUCAUGGCCAUGCUCGUGCUUCUUCUUCUUGUCGUGCAACCUGCAUAUAGCAAAGGAAGCUUGUAAGUAUUUCUUGUAGUCAGCUCAAAGAAUUAGAAAGAAAGGAAGAGAGAAUCAUGGACAAACUAACAAAACACAGUGCAUUGAGCUCUGCAAUAAAUAAAAAAGAAACAAAAGAAGCAUUUAAGAAUUAAGAUCAUAACAAUAACAUAAUAAACACCUAAAACUAUGAAAGGAACAGAGCUGCCACUCACAAUUUUCAAGGAGGUUCUAAGUUCCCAAGCACGGGCAGAGGCUGAACCAACUCCUCCCAUGUCAGGGUAUUGAACCCCUACUGCCACAGUGUUCUCAGGAUUCUCUAUUGGUCUGAUUCCUCUUGAACUUGAACCUGGUCCAGAUCUUGAUGAUUGCUUGGAAGAGUCAGAAAACUUCAGCACCAUGUCCUUCAAUUUCAUAUGCAGAAAGAAAGAAAUAAUUAACACCAUUUGCAUGUAUCUAUCUAGGGUACAUUACAAUGAAGAUGUUCUUUACUAAUGCAUACAGGGAUGAUAUGAAGUACGAUUUACAUCAAUCAAUCAAUUAAACAGAUUGUAUUUGCAUCUCAUGACAAUGUAAAAAUGUGUCGGAAAACUCAUAGAACCAAACAGAUGUGCCUGAAGUUUAUGUGUAUGCAGAACAGAAAAUGCACUCAGUUAAGAAAAUUCGUUCAGGAAUUUCAUCGAACAUGUAGUAUGCACCGAUGAUAUGAUAAAAGUGUGGAGAAAAUUCAUUCACUUAUGUCAUCGAUCAUGUUAUAUGCUUGGAAACAGCAAUGAAAAUGUGCAAAUCAAAGCCAAACAGGGAAGGAAUUGCAAUGAAGCAGCAUGAAGUAAAAAGGAGAGAGGGAUAGAGUGACUUAGAGAAAGAAAGAACGUGAGUGGUCUGAUGCGCUUCUCAGAAUCAGUUCUGGUUCUCUCCUUGACGUUGAGCUUCCUGACGGUGUGACCUGCUACAGCGGACCAGUAACACCACGACGAUCUGAGCGAUGAAUAUUGCGAGCUCGUCUCGCCAUUUCCUCACCCGACGCCAAAACACGCAGCCACUCCCGCUCCUUUCCUGUCUUCAUAUCCUCUUCCCUUGUGGUGUCUUCACUCCUUUCAUCCUUACUCUCUCAAGUCGAAGAAAAGUGAACCUUGACAUCAAGAAUGGCCGAAACAGAGUGAGUGAAUGAGUUUCAGACUAACAGUGGAAGCAGAAAAAGCAAUAACAUGAUAAGAGGACUAUCUCGAGUUAGGGUUUGGGCGCAAAUGAGCGAUGAAUUGCGGAAACAAAGUUAGAGGAGGAAGAAGAAGAUUUCAUAUUAGAAUCCGAAAACGCAUCAUCUCUGCUUCUCGGUUUUCUCCACCGUGCACAACCCUAAGUCAGGUUCGUUGUGGGAGAGGAGCCGCUCAAUUGAAAGCGGGGAAUAGUUUAGGUUUAGGUGAAAGGAGAAAUCAAGGCACAUGUGGCAAGUAGGAGUAAGGAGGAAGAGCCUAGCUUUGACACGUGUCAAAAAUCAAGUAAGAAUUAAUCUGGGAGCGACACGUCAUUAACUUGGCAUGUGGGAGCGACACGUCAUCAAAUCAACCUUAGAGAAGUUCUUCUUUUCUAAUAUAUAUUGAUAUUGAUUUUAUCAACAGAGAAAUGGAUUGGGUUUGUUUGAGUUGAUUACGAAGGUGAAGGGAUGCCUCCAACUCCAAACCAGAGAGCCCUUGUUUGUUUGCGACAGAUCAUAGAUAUGGAGGGGUGGAAAUGGUAGGAAGGAGAUGUUGUAGGCAUGGAGAGGGUGCCACCGUUGACAAGGGGAAAAACAAAUGUUUUUGUCAAUGACACGUUUUUUCUCCUUCUGUAAUUUGAUUAAAAUUUAUUUUUCUUUUAACUAUGUCUAAGAAUUUUAUUGAUUAUGCCUCAAUUAAAAGGUGUUAGGGUUUAUUUUAUAAACUAAAAUUCUAUUGAAUAAAAAAUACAAAGAGGACUUCAACUGAAUACAUAAAAGAGCCAGAAAAGAGGCACACGAACAAAGAUUAUAGUAGAACCAACUAAUAUUCAAAACCUGGGAAACUAUACUAGAGCUAGUUGGUUCCAAUCCAACAGAGUAGGGAUGGUAACGGGUAGGAUCGGGCACGGGUUUUACAAUUACCAAACUCAAACCCAAACACAAACCCUUUUGGGCGAUAAAAUGAAAUUCAUGUCCAAACUCAUUGAGUUUUUGAUUUACCCGAAACCCAACCCAAACUCAUUACUUACGUGAAAUAGCAACCCGUCCCAGAACCUGAUCCAGAACCUACUUUCAUAAAAAAAAAAAGUGAAAUUCGUAGAAAGAAAAAAAAAACAAAUACUAUUCAUCAUCCUCAUCCAUCACCAAAGUGAGACAACAAUAGUUUAGAGUUUAUUUCUCAAACAUAUAAAAGUACAAUUAAUCAUCAAAUACUAAGAACAAAGUUUAUAAAUAUAUAUGUAUGAUGGGUUUUUUGUAAUUUUAUGUUUCGGAUAUCUUUGGGUUUGGGUUCGGGCGGGUAUGGGCACGGAUUUAACUAAUACCAAACUCAAACCCAUAAACUGCUAUAGUAACGGGCAAAACUCAAAUCCAGUCAACUCGGGUUUUGUCCUUCAAAUCGGAUCGGGUUCAUGCGGGUACCCAUGAAUUUGGGCAAAAGUGUCAUCCCUACAACAGAGUGAUGGGUGGCAACAAUCUGCACAAUUUGGAAUCAAUGAAACAAAGUGGUAUUUAGAGACUCACAAACUGUUUAUUCAAUUAGUUGUUUUGGUUGGAACCGCCAGGACUGGUUGAGUCUUUUCUAAGGUAAGUCCAAAUGUUUCAUCCAUAUCCAUAUCCUCUGGUUUGAUUCCACCUUCAAGCUCCCAAUUGAAGCAAUUGAUAAGCAAACCCAACAUCAAGAACAACAGUCUUAUUGCCAAUGGUAAGCCAGGACAUAUUCUUCUCCCAGCGCCAAAUGGUGUCAACUCAAAACUUCUACCCUUAAAGUCAAUUUCUGACCCCAAGAAUCUCUCUGGUGAAAACAAAUUUGGAUUAUCCCAUAAAUUUGGAUCUCUCCCAUUAGCCCAUACAUUAACCAGAACUUGUGAACCUUUCGGGAUCGUAUAACCGUGCAUAUCUAAAUCUACUUCGGCUUGUCGAGGGAGUAAAAGUGGGACUGCUGGGUGCAACCGAAAAAUCUCUUUAACAAUUGCUUGCAAGUAAGGGAGUCUCUCAAUGUGUGAUUCUUCAACUAGCUUGCCUUUGCCAAUAGUUUUCUCCAACUCUGAUUUUGCUUUUGACAUAACUUCUGGGUUACGUAGUAACUCGGCCAUUGUCCAUUCUACCGUAGAUGUAACUGUGUCGGUUCCUGCCACAAAUAGGUCCUAACAAAAGCACAUUAAUUAGAAAGUGAGAUGCUUCACAAUCUACCAUAAAUCUUGCUCAAUUCUAAGUUUUUUUCAUGACUUUUUACUGCUAUCAAUUUUUUUUUUGAAAUGUACAACUAUCAAAUUAGAAGGUUCUAAUACAAUAUCAAAAUUUGUAAAGUGUAACCAUCAAUCCAUCAUAAAGUUUGGACCACAAAUUAUUAAAAAUUGUGACUCUGUCGUUCAUUUUAUUUUUACAGCAGAAAAUCAUCAUAUUAAUUGAAAAUAAUAUAUCUCGCCAUAGCGAGGAGGACGAACAAAGAAACUAUAACUCUCUGCAGACACAUAGGUCUUCUCUCUACUGAUACAUUGGCCUUCCACUCUAUUACAUCUGAAUUCUGAAAAAUAUGUCUCUUAUUGAUGGGUAUAUAUCUAAAUAUACUCAAAAAAAAAAAAUACUUAACUAGUAUUGAUCCCGCGUCACACACAGAUGAAAUAAGAGUACAUUAUCAGCCUACAUUAGAUCUUUUUAUAUUUUCUCUCUUGAUUUUCUUUUUAAAACACGUAUAUCACAUAUUAAAGUUUUUUUUUUUCUAAUCCUAGCUAGGAACAUUUUAAUUCCCUUUUUUCCUAAUUUGUUAUGUUUUGAAUCAAUAUAACAAAACCAUUUUAAUCUUCUGAAUAUAUAUAAGAAAACAUAAAAGACAAAACUUUUGAGUUAAUUUCCAAAUCAAUCCUUUAAAAAAUUUGAUAUUAAUUAUUUUAUGGCAUAUUUGAUAUCAUUUUUAACAUAAGAUAUUACAUUUAAUUUUUUUAAUAUAAAAAAUAACUAUAAUCAUUAUAAAAAAAGAUUUUUUUUUCUGGAAAUGCAAAAAAAAAAGAUUUUGUUACCAUACAUCUUAAUGGUAGAAAAUUCACAAUUGACUUUAAUUAAUUAAUCUAAUGUGCAUUUAAAACCAUUAAAUGACAAAUUAAUAUAGUAGUUAUUUUUUAAAAAAGUCACAAUUAAAUUUUGUUAAUUAUUCUAAUGUCAUUAAUAACUAUUAAAUGAAAUAUUAAUACAUUAAUUAUUUUAAAAACAUUAAAUUAUUUAAUAUUUAAAUUACUAAAAAAUCAGAAAAUAUAAAUAUGACAUCAUCUGCCUACUAAUUAAUUAUAGUACGGGAAAGAAGCUUAUGAAGAAAGACAUAAAAUGAGGGGGUGGCACUUGUUAGAGUUGUCACUUUUAAUUUGGUUUAGAAAUAGUAUACAACUGGUGUUUUUUCUCGUGCGUGGCACGGGGAAUAUGUAUAUUAUAUUUGAUACAUCAAUUAAUCAUAAAUGUGAUUAUCCGAGUUCAUUUUCAGUUAUUUUUCUUAAAAUUCUAAGUUAUUUAUGUUUUAAUUUUUUUAAAAUUGUUCCCAAUAUGUGUUUAGGGAACACGUUCAACAGACUGGUGCAGUAUCUUAGAUAAUUAGGGAAAACUUUUUAUAAUUUUAAUGGAUUAUAAUCUCAGCACUACAUAUAUUUAUUUUUAUAUUGUAGAUCAUGAGAAAAAAUAAAAGGAGAAAUCAGGAGAUUCAGUAAAUAUGCAGUAAAUUAGGCUUGAGACUCUUCCUAAUUUAAAGAGAUAAUGUAAACGGUUUCAAGAUUUGUUUUGGAAAUAAAUUUAGUAAGGAGUAAUCAAGGUAAAUCUUACAUAAUUAGGGCAAAACUUUUAAAAUUCGAUUUUAAGAUAAAAUAACACAACAGAAGAGAAGUUAUCUAAUGAAAUGACAUGUGAAAUUUUUUUAUGAGAAUGACACGUGGAAUUUUUUUUAUGAGAAUGACACGCGCGAUACUAAUUCAGCUUGAUAGAAGUUCUUCUUUUCUAAUAUAUAUUGAUUGAUUGAUUAUAGGAUUUGAUAUGGAGGAUAUACUUAAUUUGACUAUGAUGAAAAUAUAUAAUAUUUUUUUGUAAGAAAAAUAGAUUUAAAUCUCAUAAAUCUAAUCGUGGAAACCGGAAAGAUGUAAUAAUCAAUUGUUCACACAUUUACUUCGUGACUCUCUUUCUCCCUUUACAUAUCACUUAUCAUAUCAUAUCAUAUCAUUCGUUUCUCUUUCAUUCUUAUCCAUCUCUAAAAAAUGUGGGUGUAAAGGUGUGAAUUAUAAAAACAUUUAUGAUAUUUGAAAACAAUAAAAAGUGAACAGUCAAAGAGUAUAAAUAGGUGGAGGAAGAGAGAGAUAGGAAGAAAUUAGAGAAAAUAUAAAUUGUGAUAAAUGAUUUGAUAGAGAAAAUAAAAUAAAUAAAGGUGUGUAUAAAUCAUAACUCAUGUUUGCAGGUAAAAUGUCAUUAAUAGAAAAUCCAACCAUGCUGUAAAAUAAAAGGGUUGUUAAAAGGAAAUUAAGCAUACCACUGAUAAACGCUCAAUCUUAUCUUUGUACAUCUCUGAACCGUUAUGUUGAGCAUUGUCGAGCAUGGCAUCCAACAUGUCAUUUUUGGUGUUGUAACCACUCUCUUUCCUCUGCUUCAACCUUUCCUCCACCAAUCCCUUGAAAAUUUUCAUCAACCUCUCAAAGUAACUCCCUGUGCGCCUCCUUAUCCCAUGAGGAUCAACCACCUUCAACACCGGAAAACAAUCAGCCAAGUUGGGCCUCCCAACCUCCUUCAUGAUACUCACAAUCACCUCCUUAAACUCCCCAGCUUUAUCCGCAGAGCGAAUCAAAUCCACUGAGUAAAUCGUGUUUGAAAGCAAGUUUAUGGUGGUCUUGAAAGCCAGCCUUCCAACAUUAACGGCCUCACCUUUCAACAUGCUUUUCUUGAUGUCAUUGAAGAGCUCUAAAAUCUUGUCGCAUCUUAAUUGUUCAUUAGCAUUGAGAUUCUUGUUGGAGAAUAAUAGAUUGUUGCAGAUUUUCCGGAGGUCUCUCCAACGGUGCGAGACGGGGAUGAAGGGUAAGCUGUAACGGUCUUGGUUAUAGCCUUUCAUGGCAUCGGGGAUCUUUCUGUUGGAUAAGAAAUUGUCGUGGAUUUGGAGCGUUGAUUUGGCAGUUUCGGAGGAGGACAUGACUAUGGUAGUGAUUUGGCCAAGUUUGAGGGUCAUGAUGGGGCCAUGGGUUUUGGAGAGAGUGGCCAAGGUUUGAUGGGGUUUGUGGCCAAGUUGGAAGAGGUUCCCAACUAUGGGAAGACCCUUUGGUCCUGGGGGAAGUGGAAGCUUCUUCUUCUUGUGGUUUGGUUUCAAGAUUGUAUUGGCAAGAAACAGUAUAAAGGUGAUGGUAAGGAGAAAUAGCAAGAUGCAGCUGAUUGUGUCCAUUUCUUGUGGUGAAGGGGGGAUAUUGCAGCGUUGAAUCCACACACCAUAAUACCAUAUAUAUAGGGAAAUGGAAGGAUAAGAGAUGACCUUUCUUUCUCUCUCUCCAUUGACAAUCUUCUAGGAUUAAUAUUACACUUGAUAUGGUGAAAAAUGAAGAGAUGAAGUGAAACAAAAUAAUUAAUGCAGUAUGAUAAUGCAAAUUACUUCUUUCUAAAGUCAUUUAAACAACCCGAACAAAUUUGAUAAGAAGAUAUAUAGAGAGGGAAAAAUGAGAUGUGCAUGAUAUGAAGUGUUUGGGUAUUUCAGUCUAUAGUUUGGUGGGUAUUUAAAUAUAGUAGUAUUUAUAUGUAUUUAUAUGUUCUCUU